rnacentral:sRNA from 1 species
CAGAUUUGAUCUCAAAGAAAAACCAAGACCAGUAUUUCUCCCAGGUUCUGCUUUUUUACAAUUUCCUCCGAAAUCGAGAUACCUGUCAACACCUUGGAAAAACUGAUUUCUCCCCAGUUAGUAGUGUUGUGUGACUGUCAUCAGCCCAGUACAAAAAUGGCCUUCUUUGUUGGGGAGCUUCUUACCCUCCAGUGUUUUGCCCAAUUUUUGUCCAAGGUGGCAGCAUAAUUUAGUUCAGUUCUUGUUUAUUUCCACCAUCAUCUAUGCACCAAAAUUUAUGUGUCUCAAGGAGGGACCAUUCAGAGGAUGCUUCCCACCAGUUCAAGUGACAGUGUCAGAACCAAAGCGCAUAUUGUAGGAAAUCAAACAAUGGCCUCCAAGUUCCAUUCCUACCCAGGGAUGAACAAAUCAACAUCAAUCUUGGUAACACAACUGCCACUGAUGGUGCCUUACUCUUCUCUCAUGACAUGGCACAAUUGAUAGCAAACAUAAAAUUUGUUCUUGUUUAAGGAUUUAUAUCCACUAAUAUGGUAACAUAGUAGUGGUUCCAUAGUUCUAACCUGUUUAUCAGUCCAGUUAAUCUUUUACUAUCUUGCAAUCUGUUAAUGAAACUGUUUUUCUUUGUUUUAUAAUUUCAACUUUUAGAGUCAGGGGUACAUGUGCAGGUUUGUUACAUCACUAAAUUGCGUGACACUGAGCUUUGGGGUACAAAUGAUUCCCAUCACCCAGGUAGUGAGCUAAAUACCUACUAAAUAGGUAGUUUUUCAGCCCUUGCCUCGCUCCCUCUCUCCCUUCUCUGGUAGUCCCCAGUGUCUUUAGUUGCCCAUCUUUAUUUAUGUCCACAUGCCCAACUGUGUGUUCUUAACUAAACAUUUUGAUUCAUAGCUACCCAUUCUACUUCCAGUAAACAGCAAGUUUUAUUUGGUUAAUGCAAACCAAAUAGAUUAAAAGGAAGUCAUGACAAUUAGACAUCGGCAUUGAUUUACUGACCAUUUAUUCCACUUGGAUCUCCCACCUCUAGGUCAAGGAGAGCCUCUGGAUGACUAUGUGAAUACCCAGGGGGCUUCACUGUUCAGUGUCACUAAGAAGCAGCUGGGGGCAGGAAGCAGAGAAGAAUGUGCAGCAAAAUGUGAGGAGGACAAAGAAUUCACCUGCAGGGCAUUCCAAUAUCACAGUAAAGAGCAACAACGUGUGAUAAUGGCUGAAAACAGGAAGUCCUGUUUUCAUUAGGAAAACAGGAAGUCCUCCAUAAUCAUUAGGACGAGAGAUGUAGUGUUAUUUGAAAAGAAAGUGUAUCUUUCAGAGUGCAAGACUGGGAAUGGAAAGAACUACAGAGGGACAAUGUCCAAAACAAAAAAUGGCAUCACCUGUCAAAAAUGGAGUUCCACUUCUCCCCGCAGACCUAGGUAAGACUUUCCCUUUCAUCUUUGUGUUCAUCUACUGUAAAGUUGUCCCUCUGUGUCUGUGAGGGAUUGGUUCCAGGACCCCUGUGGCUACCAAAAUCCAUGCUUCUCAAGUCCCUUAUGUAAAAUGGUGCAGUAUUUGCAUAUAACCUACAUACCUUCUCUUGUGCAAUCCCUAAUAUAAUGUAAAUGCUAUGUAAUCGUUGUUAUGCUGUAUUGUUUUUAUUUGUAUUAUGUUUUAUUGUCAUAUUGUUAUUUUCUCUCAUCUUUUUCAAGUCUUUUCCAUCCACAGUUGGUUGAAUUUGUGGAUGUGGAACCCAUGGAUACAGAGGGCCAACUGUAUUUAGGAUAAUUUCAUCACUUUUAAUUCAAACCAGAAUAUGUGAAUAAGCAGACAGAAAGAAUCUUUUUGAUGUCGAUGUUCAACUAUUUUUGGCACCAUAGUAGAACAUGGUUGCUUUCUAUUUUUUCUUGUGUAUGGAGGUUUCUUGAAGACCUAGAACAUAGAAGAAUGCCUAGUUAAAAAAAAAAAUCAAUGAAACUACGAGUUUUAGGCCAAAUCUGAGAAAAGACCAAAGAUGACUAUGUUUGGGACUGAAGUAAACAUAUCAAGUUAGAACUCUCAUCACAUGUUUGACUCAAAUUGUGGAGCAAAAUAGUAAAUAAAAUAUAAAAAUGAAAAUGAAGAUACGUGAAAUUCAAAUGUC